CGCUUGCCACCUAUGUAUUACCGCGGCUGCUGGCACAUAGUUAGCCGUGGCUUUCUGGUAAGGUACCGUCAAGCUAGUAGCAUUUCCUCUACUAGCAUUUCUUCCCUUACAACAGAGCUUUACAAUCCGAAGACCUUCAUCACUCACGCGGCAUUGCUUCAUCAGGCUUUCGCCCAUUGUGAAAAAUUCCCUACUGCUGCCUCCCGUAGGAGUCUGGGCCGUAUCUCAGUCCCAAUGUGGCCGAUCAACCUCUCAGUUCGGCUACGUAUCAUCGCCUAGGUGAGCCAUUACCUCACCUACUAGCUAAUACGCCGCAUCCUCAUCUCCUAGCGGUCCAAACGGACCUUUUAACACCUUCUGAUGCCAUAAUGGUGUCGUAUGCGGUAUUAGCAGUCGUUUCCAACUGU
rnacentral:rRNA from 1 species